rnacentral:tRNA from 1 species
AAGCACUUAGCUCAGCUGGUUCAGAGCACUCCGAUACAUCGGAGGGGUCGGGGGUUCGAAUCCCUCAGCGCCCA